AACUGACCGUGAAGGCUUGGAAGGCGAUGUGCAUAGCGAGCGCCAGUUGUAUGGACGUUGGCUCCAGGUCAGACUCGUCCCAGCUGUACCCGAGGAACUGCUUGCGCAAGCACUGCACCUUCCGCUGCAGUUCAUGUCUGAAGCCCGGUGACCAAACGGCCUCGUAGCGCCCGGAGCCGUUGAGCAAGCGAUGAUCGCCAAAUACCAUCUUGCUUACUUCCAGGCUCAUCCCGUGGCCCAAGCCCGCAUAGUUGAGGGAGAGGGACUGGUGGAAGGUGUAGACGGGAGGCAUCAGGAAAGAAGGAGGCAACUCGACGAGGUUGUAGACGGGAACCAUGUAGGGCAGUCGAACCACAAAGGGUGGAAGGAAGACACUCGACUGAUUCCGCACACCGUAGUGAAGAAGGCUUCGGACGUACUGGGCUGUUCGCCUUGAAGCGCUCAGGAAAGUGUCCACGUAAUCUUCGUCUUUCUGGUCGGGAAGAUUUUACUCAAACGAUACGAAGCGAGCGCUUCGCCUCUGUGACACAAGAGGGCGCUGAAAGCAACACACUGCUGACAUCAUCCCGCAAGAGAGAAAGAAUGAAGGCUUGGAAGCAGACGACAAUGCUGGGUGACGUCACGGAAUCCUCCUCCGGACGUUUUCUGCUUUUCGCAUUUCGUUGUGCACGAUUACGUGGCGCCUGUGGGCAAGACGAGUGUGGGCUUCACCUAAUGCAUCGGGUUAACUUUGGCUAUCUUUCGACACCAAGACUGGCAUCACUAAGCUGGCAACCAUGUCAACAGUGGCCACAGCGUACGCGUUGGGAAAGUGGCUCGCUCACGGACAGUGUCCUCAGCAUCAAUAAAUCAUUUCGU